AGGAGGGGGUGUGUGCAUUAGGAAGCAUGAGAGGCUAAGAUGCAAUUUAGAGAAAAUUGCAACUUUUGGCCCAAAGGUUUGAAUAAUUAAAUUCAAACCUAUAGUUUUUUUUAAUAUAAUUUUGGGACUCACAAUCCCAUUUUUAUAUUAUUUUUCUCUCUUCCUCUCACGUUGCUCGGCGUUUUCUCGCAAGGGGGGAUUAUUUUCUUUUUCUUCAGAUUAUAUUGACAAAGAUAGUGGUGAAAAAGGAGUUGUGAAGGGGAACUUGUUAUUCAAGACACAAGGAGCGAGUCCGGCCGAGAAAGCACCAGAGGUGUAAUUAUGGUGUAUGAGACACCAUCUUUUACGUUGCCUCUUAUUUUGGAUUAUACAAUGUAUCUUGUGCCAACUUAGGACAUAUCUUCUUUGUGAG